rnacentral:sRNA from 1 species
UUAUAAACAAUCAAACGUUAUAAUUGC